AGAUGUGAGGGCUGUUGGGCUGUGACAUCUGUCACCCCACUGACCACCAGGGAUGAUUCGCCUGAUCUGGCUUGCUGGGCGGGUGUCUGCUUCCUCCCUCCUCUCUCCAUAUGCGUUCUUCUCAAAGCUUCAAGCAGAGGUGCUCAGCCAAAGAAGACAAGCACCUCUGGGGGAUGAGAGCCGUGUCCUUGGUCAAAGGUAUAGGAGUAGUUGCACUCCCCAGCUAGAACCUCCCAACAAACUCUUCAAGUGCUACCUCCAAGACUCGUCCUUACAGUGUCUGAGGACUAUGUAUCCUGUGCCAGUUGCUUGAGAAACUCGGCUCCACACACAGGAUAGAUCUAUCCGUUUGUGU
rnacentral:snRNA from 1 species